GCGAGAUGGGCACACAAAGCACUGUGGCAUGCUUCACUAUGGCACAUGCAUGAGUCACACCACAAACCAAGAGAAGGACCUUUUGAGCUGAACGACGUUUUCGCCAUAACAAACGCUGUUCCAGCAAUAGCCCUCCUCAACUAUGGUUUCUUCCAUAAAGGCCUCAUUGCCGGACUAUGCUUCGGUGCUGGGCUAGGGAUCACAGUAUUUGGAAUGGCAUACAUGUUUGUUCACGAUGGUUUGGUUCACAAGAGAUUCCCAGUUGGACCUGUAGCCAAUGUACCUUAUCUUAGGAAGGUGGCUGCUGCUCAUUCGCUUCAUCACUCAGAGAAGUUCAAUGGUGUCCCAUAUGGCUUGUUCUUCGGACCUAAGGAACUGGAAGAAGUAGGAGGGACGGAAGAGUUGGAAAAGGAAGUGAUACGAAGGACGAGACUUUCGAAAGGAUCAUGAACGAUUGUUCAUAAACAUAGAAUGUCAUUUUACACUUCUUAUCAAUGAGGAAGGGUGAUUUUUGAUGUAUUUGAUAGUAGAGAAAAAUGUAGCUCUCUUGAUGAAAUGAAUUUGUAUUUAUG
rnacentral:misc_RNA from 1 species